AGCGAACGCUGGCGGCAGGCUUAACACAUGCAAGUCGAACGCAUCCUUCGGGGUGAGUGGCAGACGGGUGAGUAACACGUGGGAACGUACCCUUCGAUCUGGGAUAACUUCGGGAAACUGGAGCUAAUACCGGAUACGCCCUUUUGGGGAAAGGUUUACUGACGAAGGAUCGGCCCGCGUCUGAUUAGCUAGUUGGUGGGGUAACGGCCUACCAAGGCGACGAUCAGUAGCUGGUCUGAGAGGAUGAUCAGCCACACUGGGACUGAGACACGGCCCAGACUCCUACGGGAGGCAGCAGUGGGGAAUAUUGGACAAUGGGCGCAAGCCUGAUCCAGCCAUGCCGCGUGAGUGAUGAAGGCCUUAGGGUUGUAAAGCUCUUUUGUCCGGGACGAUAAUGACGGUACCGGAAGAAUAAGCCCCGGCUAACUUCAUG
rnacentral:rRNA from 1 species